GCGGAUGUGGUGCACGGUGCACGACUGCUUUCAGUCGUUGGUUACUGGGUCGCACACUGCAUUUGAAGUCCAACGGGGUUCGAUUCCCCGCAUCCGCA